rnacentral:rRNA from 1 species
GGCCUUUUGAAUUUAAUUUAAGGUCUGACCUGCCCAGUGAUGUAUUUAACGGCCGCGGUAUAUUGACCGUGCAAAGGUAGCAUAAUCAUUAGUCUUUUAAUAGAGGGCUGGAAUGAACGGUUUAACGAGGAACUGACUGUCUCAUUUUAUUUGUUUUAAAAUUUAAUUCUUUAGUUAAAAAGCUAAAAUUUUAUUGGAAGACGAGAAGACCCUAUAGAUCUUUAUAUAAUUUUUUAUACCUAUUUAUAAAUAUGAGUAUAUUAAAAUUGUAUUUUGUUGGGGUGACAAAAAUAUAUAAUUAACUUUUUCAUUUAUUUGCCAUUGAUAUAUGAAUAUUAGAUCCAUUAUUAGUGAUUUCUAGAACAAGUUACCUUAGGGAUAACAGCGUAAUCCUCCUCCAGAGUUCAUAUUUACAGGAGGGCUUGCGACCUCGAUGUUGGAUUAAGAUAAUAAUUAGGUGUAGCUGCUUAAUUUAUAGGUCUGUUCGACCUUUAAAUUCUU